GAGAGUCACUAAUAAGGGAUGUGUUUGAACAGAAGCAGAGCUCUGGGACGUGUGGACAGACUUUCACUGUAAUGAUGGACAUCCGCUGAUGUACAGAAGUAUAACCCCUGCUGGACAUCGUGCCGGGGCUCGGGGGGCGGACCCGAAUCAUCCCCACUCCUUCAUUCACACAACACUCACAUCGCAGAGAUCUGG